GACAGAGGGUGCAAACGUUGUUCGGAAUUACUGGGCGUAAAGCGCGUGUAGGCGGCUAAGUAAGUCGGGCGUGAAAUCCCACGGCUCAACCGUGGAAGUGCACUCGAAACUGCAUAGCUAGAGUCCUGGAGAGGAAGGUGGAAUGCUUGGUGUAGAGGUGAAAUUCGUAGAUAUCAAGCGGAACACCGGUGGCGAAGGCGGCCUUCUGGACAGUGACUGACGCUGAGACGCGAAAGCGUGGGGAGCAAACGGG
rnacentral:rRNA from 1 species